CCUGUACUGAAUCUGAAAAUAAAAGAAAACCGUAAACAUCUGAAAUGCUUUCAACGGUCCCUUUAAUUCAAAACAUGGUUCUCGAACCCUUCAAUUCCGGACCAGGCAGUUCUCUGAAGGCUCCAUCGUUUCAGUGGGUCCUCCUCUUCCUGGGGGACCCCUGUAAACCCCCUGUAUAGACCAAUUCAUAUCUGCUGGCACACAUGGCAUAAAAGAGUUUUGGGACUGAGAAGCAGCAGGGUCAGGUGUACGGGAGUCCCCGUUAAAAUGUGGUGGACGUGAUUGACGCAGUGGCGCUCGAUUGGCGUAUCUCUUGAGGAACAUGUGGUGUCAGCAGCACGUCUGGGUUGCUAAAGAUAGCUGAAGUCAUUGCAGUUGUCACUUCCUAAUUUCCACUCUUGAGCAACCGCGUGGCGGCACGUCCGCUGGCCGACUUUCAUUUCGGAUCCGUCCGGUCCACGGGGACACAAAGCUGCGCUCCCAAAAGGAGAAAGAAUCUUCUGGUCCCCCGGCCAGUUCAGCAGCAUUCCUCCAGGUGCAGUGUUCCUCGUAAUCAGAAGCACUCUCUUACUUUGGAGGCCAGAUCUUCACUCAACACCUUCAGCUGGCCACAGGCCUGCCUGCACACGGGAAUUUGCUUGUGGUCAGAUAUGAUCUAGCAUCCCGAUCCGCCAAGGUGCCACUGAGGUCCCCUUGAUGAAGGUCCCGUCCCCACACGCUGCUCCCCGGGCGCCUGUCAUGGUGCCCACUGCUCACCAAGGGUGACGGUUAAAUACAGACGACACGUUUCACUGUGUCACCGUGUGCUGUGCUGAAGUGCAUCACAAUGACAAUCACUAUAUCUUGUUCUCUGAAACGCGUUGCGGUGAUGUCACGGUGCUGAAUCUCGUGCUUUCUUGUAUUAAUGUGUGGGCCCGGUGCUUCGCGGCAUCACAGUGUCUUCUGAAGACCUGACUUACCUUCAAUUUUUCCCCACCAGAUCAUGAACAGAAUGGGAAAUGCAAGAAUUACUUCUUUUUUUAAUAUGCUUCUGGCAGCCAUUAGAUGAACUUUAAAGAUCCCAUGAGCUGAAAUAAAUCUUUAGCCGCAUUCUUGGCA
rnacentral:lncRNA from 1 species